GCCACGCUCGCCGCUCUCCCGCCCCGGCCGGGCCCAUCUCCGCGCGCCUCGGGGCGCUGGGCCUCAGCCGGCCACGCCGCCACCUGCUGCUGCUGCGUCCCCAGGGAAGGCGAAGGAGCAUCUCCGCGCCUCCCGGGUCCUCGCGCCGAGCCCCUGCGCGGGGCAUGAGGAGCCCCGGGGCGCCGCCCGGAGACGGAGAGGACCCGGCUGCGCGCACACCUCGCCAGCGGCGGACGGGGACAUGAGCGGCGCGCGCGGGCUCCGGGGCCCGGCGGCCAGCCCCAGCCCGCGGCGGCCAGCGGGUCGGCGCUGCCCGGGAGAAUGAGGCAGGAGCCCGCGGCAGCCUCCUCCUCCUCCUCCUCCUCCUCCUCCUCCUCCUCCUGCUGCUGCUCUUCGCCUUCCUCCGGCUCCGGCGCCCCGGGCCCCGGCCGGGCUGUGGCUCUGCUGCGUGCCCCGCGCGCCCCCCGCCCGCCUCCGGAUGCGCUGCUCGGUUAGCCUGGGGCGGAAGAUAAAGACAUUUGCCACCAAGAUGGUAAUCACGAGUGGAAAUGAGGAGGACAGAGAGGGCCAGGAGAGAGAGAGUAAGGAAGAGAGUGUCUUGGCGAUGCUGGGGAUUAUCGGGACCAUUCUGAACCUGAUUGUUAUCAUAUUUGUAUACAUAUACACCACUCUGUGAAUGGCCCAGAGGGUGCUUGGAGGCCUCGGGGUGGCCGCAAGAUGGGAGUCCUGUGUGUUGACAGAUCCGUGAUCGGACGCUGCGCAAACAAGCAGGCUUGACCUACACACGCUGCUCAAGCAAAUGCACCUUCGAACUUUAUAAAAGGUCACAAAUACAAACCAAUCCUGCUGCAAGGAGCAGACACUAAAGCACAAUGAAUCCAACAAAACUCAUUCACACGACAAGGAACUCAGCGUCUUUGGCCCGGAGCCCGAGAGAACACUUGGAAGACCAGCCUUUGACGCCAUCAGUGAGCAGAUGGGUGCAGAAACUCAUGAUCGCAGAUCUCUGAUGGAUGUCACGCCUUGGGAGAGAGGAGCAGGGCGGCGCGGCUCGUGGGUGCGUCUCCCAGGACAUGUGCUUCACCGUCACUCAACGAGCCGUUCAGGAUGCGAAACCACAGGGGCAGCCCUUUGACAGACAUCCCAUCCAUCAAAAGUGUCUAACUAUUUGAUACUGGGGAGAUAACUUAUUUUUCUUUUUUCAUUGGCUUGACGUGUGUACCUGUUCAUAUCAAGGUUUAUAAAUCUAUAUUUUUAAUAAAUGUGCUCUAUUUUUUAGCAUGAA